rnacentral:rRNA from 1 species
GGACGAACGCUGGCGGCGUGCUUAACCCAUGCAAGUCGAACGGAAAGGCCCUGCUUUUGUGGGGUGCUCGAGUGGCGAACGGGUGAGUAACACGUGAGUAACCUGCCCUUGACUUUGGGAUAACUUCAGGAAACUGGGGCUAAUACCGGAUAGGAGCUCCUGCUGCAUGGUGGGGGUUGGAAAGUUUCGGCGGUUGGGGAUGGACUCGCGGCUUAUCAGCUUGUUGGUGGGGUAGUGGCUUACCAAGGCUUUGACGGGUAGCCGGCCUGAGAGGGUGACCGGCCACAUUGGGACUGAGAUACGGCCCAGACUCCUACGGGAGGCAGCAGUGGGGAAUAUUGCACAAUGGGCGGAAGCCUGGUGCAGCAACGCCGCGUGCGGGAUGACGGCCUUCGGGUUGUAAACCGCUUUCGCCUGUGACGAAGCGUGAGUGACGGUAAUGGGUAAAGAAGCACCGGCUAACUACGUG